rnacentral:sRNA from 21 species
GCACUGGCAAAAUCCAGUGUCGGGAUUAGUCCCCCGCAACAUACACCCAAGGCGCAUAGACGCCAGCUUUUGCUGGUUUUUU